rnacentral:rRNA from 1 species
GAUGAACGCUGGCGGCGUGCCUAAUACAUGCAAGUCGAGCGAAUGGAUUAAGAGCUUGCUCUUAUGAAGUUAGCGGCGGACGGGUGAGUAACACGUGGGUAACCUGCCCAUAAGACUGGGAUAACUCCGGGAAACCGGGGCUAAUACCGGAUAACAUUUUGAACCGCAUGGUUCGAAAUUGAAAGGCGGCUUCGGCUGUCACUUAUGGAUGGACCCGCGUCGCAUUAGCUAGUUGGUGAGGUAACGGCUCACCAAGGCAACGAUGCGUAGCCGACCUGAGAGGGGAGUCGGCCACACUGGGACUGAGACACGGCCCAGACUCCUACGGGAGGCAGCAGUAGGGAAUCUUCCGCAAUGGACGAAAGUCUGACGGAGCAACGCCGCGUGAGUGAUGAAGGCUUUCGGGUCGUAAAACUCUGUUGUUAGGGAAGAACAAGUGCUAGUUGAAUAAGCUGACACCUUGACGGUACCUAACCAGAAAGCCACGGCUAACUACGUGCCAGCAGCCGCGGUAA